rnacentral:rRNA from 1 species
GGCGGCAUGCUUUACACAUGCAAGUCGAACGGCAGCGCGGGGCAACCUGGCGGCGAGUGGCGAACGGGUGAGUAAUAUAUCGGAACGUACCCAAGAGUGGGGGAUAACGUAGCGAAAGUUACGCUAAUACCGCAUACGAUCUACGGAUGAAAGCGGGGGAUCUUCGGACCUCGUGCUCCUGGAGCGGCCGAUAUCUGAUUAGCUAGUUGGUGAGGUAAAGGCUCACCAAGGCGACGAUCAGUAGCUGGUCUGAGAGGACGACCAGCCACACUGGAACUGAGACACGGUCCAGACUCCUACGGGAGGCAGCAGUGGGGAAUUUUGGACAAUGGGCGCAAGCCUGAUCCAGCAAUGCCGCGUGAGUGAAGAAGGCCUUCGGGUUGUAAAGCUCUUUUGUCAGGGAAGAAACGGCGCGGGCUAAUAUCCUGCGCUAAUGACGGUACCUGAAGAAUAAGCACCGGCUAACUACGUGCCAGCAGCCGCGGUAAUACGUAGGGUGCAAGCGUUAAUCGGAAUUACUGGGCGUAAAGCGUGCGCAGGCGGUUUUGUAAGUCUGACGUGAAAUCCCCGGGCUCAACCUGGGAAUUGCGUUGGAGACUGCAAGGCUGGAGUCUGGCAGAGGGGGGUAGAAUUCCACGUGUAGCAGUGAAAUGCGUAGAGAUGUGGAGGAACACCGAUGGCGAAGGCAGCCCCCUGGGUCAAGACUGACGCUCAUGCACGAAAGCGUGGGGAGCAAACAGGAUUAGAUACCCUGGUAGUCCACGCCCUAAACGAUGUCUACUAGUUGUCGGGUCUUAAUUGACUUGGUAACGCAGCUAACG